GAUGAAGAACGUAGCGAAAUGCGAUAAGUAAUGCGAAUUGCAGAGUUUUGUGAGUCAUCGAAUCUUUGAACGCACAUUGCGCCCCUUGGUAUUCCAUGGGGCAUGCCUGUUCGAGCGUCAUUUGUACCUUCAAGCUCUGCUUGGUGUUGGGUGUUUGUCUCGCCUCUGCGUGUAGACUCGCCUCAAAACAAUUGGCAGCCGGCGUAUUGAUUUCGGAGCGCAGUACAUCUCGCGCUUUGCACUCAUAACGACGACGUCCAAAAGUACAUUUUUACACUCUUGACCUCGGAUCAGGUAGGGAUACCCGCUGAACUUAAGCAUAUCAAUAAGCGGAGGA
rnacentral:misc_RNA from 1 species